GGAGGAUUUCACUUGAGCCCAGGAUUUUGAGACCAGCCUGGGCAACAAAGUGAGACCCUGU
rfam:Nomascus leucogenys chromosome 5, whole genome shotgun sequence.